AGCUCCAAUAGCGUAUAUUAAAGUUGCUGCGUUUAAAAAGCUCGUAGUUGGAUCUCAGUCUCGAUCGAGCGGUCCGUCUUUUGACGGUACUGUUUGAAUCGGACAUUCAGCCGCAUUUCUCCUCAUUCUCUUGAUUGAGUGUGAGGGGAGAGUGGUACGUUUACUUUGAAAAAAUUAGAGUGCUCAAAGCAGGCCGCCGCCUGAAUAAUCGUGCAUGGAAUGAUGGAAUAGGGCCUCGGUUCUAUUUUGUUGGUUUCCGGAACUCGAGGUAAUGAUUAAUAGGGACGGACGGGGGCAUUUGUAUUGCGACGUUAGAGGUGAAAUUCUUAGAUCGUCGCAAGACAGACUACUGCGAAAGCAUUUGCCAAGAAUGUUUUCA
rnacentral:rRNA from 1 species